GCUCACUACCAAAGGUAUGUUUGGUUGGCUGUAAUAGGCAUUCAUUGCCUUCAGCACCUAUUAGGGACUCCUUCAGCACCGUUUUUCUUAUUUUCCAUUUUCUGCCCUCAGCAUUUUCUCCUACAUUUCCCUUUUUUUUUCUAUUGAUUGCAGAGGUUGAUCUUCUCCUACGUUUCUUUUCUCAUUUUAUCAUGAACGGAAAACUCUUUGCUUAAAACCCAUUUCUUGGGUUAGGGCAGGGAAGAACAUUUUUUUCUUUUCUUUCUACUCUUUCCACAGUAGCCUGAUCUGGAAUAUUUUACAAGUGGACAGACAAGUAUCAGGUAACGGACAUAAACAAAUAUCUCCGCUGCAAUGAUGAUAACAUUACUCUUUUCUAGUAAUCUGGGAAAGACAAUAUAUAUAUGUCAAACUACAGUUACAUUUCAGAUUUAAUCUUUUACCUUAA